rfam:Brassica oleracea var. oleracea cultivar TO1000 chromosome C2, whole genome shotgun sequence
AAGCCAUGAUGUGGGCAUUGAGACCAAUAGCCCUUGAACCUCUCCCAAGCUUCACUAAAGCCCUCUAGGUUCUUCUGCUGAAAGUUAGAGAUCUCAUUCCUGAUCUU